AAUGGGCGAAAGCCUGAUCCAGCCAUGCCACGUGAGGGAUGAAGGCCUUAGGGUUGUAAAGCUCUUUUGUCAGGGAAGAUAAUGACGGUACCUGAAGAAUAAGCACCGGCUAACUUCGUGCCAGCAGCCGCGGUAAUACGAAGGGUGCUAGCGUUGUUCGGAAUCACUGGGCGUAAAGCGCGCGUAGGCGGCUUAUCAAGUCAGAGGUGAAAGCCUGGAGCUUAACUCCAGAACUGCCGUUGAAACUGUUAAGCUGGGGUGUCGGCGGGGAUAGCGGAAUUGCUAAUGUAGAGGUGAAAUUCGUAGAUAUUAGCAGGAACACCGGUGGCGAAGGCGGCUAUCUGGACGACAACUGACGCUGAGGCGCGAAAGCGUGGGGAUCAAA
rnacentral:rRNA from 1 species